rnacentral:rRNA from 1 species
CCUACGGGGGGCUGCAGUGGGGAAUAUUGGACAAUGGGCGAAAGCCUGAUCCAGCCAUGCCGCGUGUGUGAAGAAGGCCUUCGGGUUGUAAAGCACUUUCAGUGGGGAAGAAAGCCUUGGGGCUAAUACCCUCGAGGAAGGACAUCACCCACAGAAGAAGCACCGGCUAACUCCGUGCCAGCAGCCGCGGUAAUACGGAGGGUGCGAGCGUUAAUCGGAAUUACUGGGCGUAAAGCGCGCGUAGGCGGUCUGAUAAGCCGGUUGUGAAAGCCCCGGGCUCAACCUGGGAACGGCAUCCGGAACUGUCAGGCUAGAGUGCAGGAGAGGAAGGUAGAAUUCCCGGUGUAGCGGUGAAAUGCGUAGAGAUCGGGAGGAAUACCAGUGGCGAAGGCGGCCUUCUGGACUGACACUGACGCUGAGGUGCGAAAGCGUGGGUAGCAAACAGGAUUAGAUACCCUGGAGUC